UGCCCACAUCUGAAGUAGGCUGUCGUCCCAACCAGACAUACUCCUUUGUGCGGCCUCCCACACUUCUUGCAUACUGCAUUAUCUGCACCAGAGCUUGAGCCACUCCCUAAUCUCAGACCUGACUUGAUCUUAUUCCAGAACUUGUUCUUCUUUGGCUUCUUGGUGGUACUGCUCCACCUCUUACUUCCUGAACUCAGAGAAGA
rnacentral:lncRNA from 1 species